GACGAACGCUGGCGGCGUGCUUAAUACAUGCAAGUCGAGCGAGGUUACUGCGACAGAUCCCUUCGGGGUGAAGUUGCUUUAACCUAGCGGCGGACGGGUGAGUAACGCGUGGGUAACCUACCCUAAAGUUCGGGAUAACAGCGGGAAACCGCUGCUAAUACCGGAUGCCUUUACCGUGUGGCAUCACAAGGUAAAGAAAGGUGACGCUUUAGGAUGGGCCCGCGUCCCAUUAGCUAGUUGGUGAGGUAACAGCUCACCAAGGCGACGAUGGGUAGCCGGCCUGAGAGGGUGGACGGCCACACUGGGACUGAGACACGGCCCAGACUCCUACGGGAGGCAGCAGUAGGGAAUAUUGCGCAAUGGACGGAAGUCUGACGCAGCGACGCCGCGUGAGCGAUGAAGGCCUUCGGGUUGUAAAGCUCUGUCCUUGGGGAAGAAGGUCUUCGGACUUGACGGUACCCAAGAAGAAAGCCCCGGCUAACUACGUGCCAGCAGCCGCGGUAAUACGUAGGGGGCGAGCGUUGUCCGGAAUUACUGGGCGUAAAGGGUGCGUAGGCGGCCCUUUAAGUCAGAUGUGAAAGCCCGCAGCUUAACUGCGGAAUUGCAUUUGAAACUGGAGGGCUUGAGUGUCGGAGAGGGUAGUGGAAUUCCCAGUGUAGCGGUGAAAUGCGUAGAUUUUGGGAGGAACACCAGUGGCGAAGGCGACUGCCUGGACGAUAACUGACGCUGAGGCACGAAAGCUAGGGGAGCAAACAGG
rnacentral:rRNA from 1 species